rnacentral:lncRNA from 1 species
GGUGGCCUUUGCUGGUUGUCUGGGCACUUUCUGAUGCAAAUGGAGGAAGCCAGGCCCAAAGGGCCUUUAUUAGGAAGUAAACUGGUCCAGCUCGGGAAAGUGAAGGAAGGAGGCUCCAGGACAUCAGAGACUGGGGUCAGCUCUCCUCUCUUCUUCAGCUCCAGGCAUGACUCUCAGCAUUACAUCCUUUCAGCUCUGCUUCCCCAGAGUUGAAACAAAUUCUCUCUCCAGCUUCCCCUGAAAAAAUCCGAGGGAAGGGCUCUGAUUGGCCCAGCACAGGUGGCAGGCCCUGAACUAGGUACUUGAUGCUCAUCGUCUUUUUGCAUCCUCACGAUAACUAUAAAAGAAGCAGUGGGAAAAGGAGAAAGUAUUUACCAAACCUCAUGGGUGACAUUCAUGGCUCUUUCCUGCAAGCUCUACCCUCUGCUUUGUAUGAGAGAAAUCUCCCCUCAGUCAUCGUGGUGGACCAGUCAGGUUCCUGCCAGGGUGACUGUUCAGUUAUUUCCUGCUGGAGCACCAAGCCGG